rnacentral:rRNA from 1 species
UACGGGGGGGGCAAGCGUUGCUCGGAAUCACUGGGCGUAAAGCGCACGUAGGCGGAUCUUUAAGUCAGGGGUGAAAUCCUGGAGCUCAACUCCAGAACUGCCUUUGAUACUGGAAAGCUCGAGUCCGGGAGAGGUGAGUGGAACUGCGAGUGUAGAGGUGAAAUUCGUAGAUAUUCGCAAGAACACCAGUGGCGAAGGCGGCUCACUGGCCCGGUACUGACGCUGAGGUGCGAAAGCGUGGGGAGCAAACAGG